rnacentral:rRNA from 1 species
CACAAGCGGUGGAGUAUGUGGUUUAAUUCGACGCAACGCGCAGAACCUUACCUAGACUUGACAUCCCGGGGAUUUUCUGGAAACAGAGAAGUGCUUUAGCAAUAAAGAACCCGGUGACAGGUGCUGCAUGGCUGUCGUCAGCUCGUGUCGUGAGAUGUUGGGUUAAGUCCCGCAACGAGCGCAACCCUUAUCAUUAGUUGCUACGCAAGGGCACUCUAAUGAGACUGCCGGUGACAAACCGGAGGAAGUGGGGAUGACGUCAAAUCAUCAUGCCCCUUAUGACCUGGGCUACACACGUGCUACAAUGGUUGGUACAACGAGUUGCGAGUCGGUGACGGCGAGCUAAUCUCUUAAAGCCAAUCUCAGUUCGGAUUGUAGGCUGCAACUCGCCUACAUGAAGUCGGAAUCGCUAGUAAUCGCGGAUCAGCACGCCGCGGUGAAUACGUUCCCGGGCCUU